UUGCAGCCGAUAAGUAUUAGAGGGACUCCCCGGCAGAAGUGACUUACUUCAGGAUACCACUGAUGGUGGAAAAUGAAACAUUUAGUCACCUUCAAACCAGAGCAUUGUGAUGUCACACUGAGCAAGCAUCUGGAGGUGGCCAAUCAGCACCAGAGGCAGUUGAACUAAGAAAUCAAAGAUCCUGUUUCAUCAAAGGCCAAUACUUCAAUAGGAUGUUUUUCAGAGUUUUCCAGAAGGCACCAGCGGAUGUUUAAGAAGACAGUGAAGACUCUGAUGACCACUUGGGUGCUGCCCCCUGUGUCAGUCUCCUUGUUCAUGUCCUCACAAAGUGGGAGGGAAUGGCUUAGAGACCUAGACAUCAGGUUUGAAAUACAGAGUCCUUGAAACUACAGGCUU